rnacentral:rRNA from 1 species
UCCGGUUGAUCCUGCCAGAGGCCGCUGCUAUCCGGCUGGGACUAAGCCAUGCUAGUCUAGGGGCUUGUACCCCUUCGGGGGUGCAAGCACCGGCGGACGGCUCAGUAACACGUGGACAACCUGCCCUCGGGUGGGGGAUAACCCCGGGAAACUGGGGCUAAUCCCCCAUAGGUGAUGGGUGCUGGAAUGCCCCAUCUCCGAAAGCGCUCAGCGCCCGAGGAUGGGUCUGCGGCGGAUUAGGUAGUUGGUGGGGUAACGGCCCACCAAGCCUAAGAUCCGUACGGGCUGUGGGAGCAGGAGCCCGGAGAUGGACCCUGAGACAAGGGUCCAGGCCCUACGGGGCACAGCAGGCGCGAAACCUCCGCAAUGCGGGAAACCGCGACGGGGUUAGCCGGAGUGCCCGUGCAUCGCACGGGCUGUCGGGGUGCCUAAACAGCACCCCAUAGCAAGGGCCGGGCAAGGCCGGUGGCAGCCGCCGCGGUAAGACCGGCGGCCCGAGUGGCGGCCACUCUUAUUGGGCCUAAAGCGUCCGUAGCCGGCCCAGUAAGUCCCCCGGGAAAUCUGGUCGCUUAACGAUCAGACUUCCCGGGGAUACUGCUGGGCUAGGGACCGGG